UGCUUUUACCACGUCAGCCUCAAGGGCCAUA
rnacentral:piRNA from 1 species